GCAGGCCUAACACAUGCAAGUUCGAGCGGUAGAGAGAAGCUUGCUUCUCUUGAGAGCGGCGGACGGGUGAGUAAUGCCUAGGAAUCUGCCUGGUAGUGGGGGAUAACGUCCGGAAACGGACGCUAAUACCGCAUACGUCCUACGGGAGAAAGCAGGGGACCUUCGGGCCUUGCGCUAUCAGAUGAGCCUAGGUCGGAUUAGCUAGUUGGUGAGGUAAUGGCUCACCAAGGCGACGAUCCGUAACUGGUCUGAGAGGAUGAUCAGUCACACUGGAACUGAGACACGGUCCAGACUCCUACGGGAGGCAGCAGUGGGGAAUAUUGGACAAUGGGCGAAAGCCUGAUCCAGCCAUGCCGCGUGUGUGAAGAAGGUCUUCGGAUUGUAAAGCACUUUAAGUUGGGAGGAAGGGUUGUAGAUUAAUACUCUGCAAUUUUGACGUUACCGACAGAAUAAGCACCGGCUAACUCUG
rnacentral:rRNA from 1 species